rnacentral:lncRNA from 1 species
CUUGUUUGAAGGGCGUUGCUGGGAGUGACUGACGUAAUCAGGCUUGUCUCACCAGUAUGGAUGACUCCUCUGUGCACCGACCUAAUCCAUUGGUCGUGAGUGCCGAGGGUCGCAUAGUAUCGGGACUCAACCCGAACCAAGGGCCAUCUGAGGGCGAUUUCUCGAAGAAGAGGAAACGAAGACGCGGCCAUGGCAAGGGCAAGGUCCAUGUGCCGGAAGAGGAUGAGGGGUCCGCGUAGUUUUAAUGUUGACUUCGAAGAGCCAUUUCAUGUUGAUCGUGGUGUUCCUAGCCCACGUCGUAGAGCGGGUCGCUCUCUAUUGAAAGAACUCCGCCACCUACCAUGGCCUUGAACAGAAAUCGAGAUCCGGACCUCGAUUUCG